CGGAUGCCUACAAGCAGUUGGAGCCUCUUUAUGGGGUGACAGCGUACCUCUUGCAUAAUGGGUCAGCGAGUUAGUCUUACAAGCAAGCUUAAGCCGAUAGGUGUAGGCGCAGCGAAAGCGAGUCUUAAUAGGGCGAUUGAGUUUGUGGGAUUAGACCCGAAACCAGGUGAUCUAGCCAUGAGCAGGUUGAAGGUGAUGUAACAGUCACUGGAGGACCGAACCCACGUCUGUUGAAAAAGACGGGGAUGACUUGUGGUUAGGGGUGAAAGGCCAAUCAAACCUGGAGAUAGCUGGUUCUCCGCGAAAUCUAUUUAGGUAGAGCGUCAGACGAAUACCUUCGGGGGUAGAGCACUGAAUGGGCUAGGGGGCCUUACCGGCUUACCAAACCUAAUCAAACUCCGAAUACCGAAGAGUACUAUCUGGCAGACAGACUACGGGUGCUAAGGUCCGUGGUCGAGAGGGAAACAGCCCAGACCGCCAGUUAAGGUCCCAAAGUUGUGGCUAAGUGGGAAAGGAUGUAGGACGGCCAAGACAACCAGGACGUUGGCUUAGAAGCAGCCAUCGUUUAAAGAAAGCGUAACAGCUCACUGGUCUAAAUAAGGGGUUCCGCGCCGAAAAUGUACCGGGGCUCAAGCCAUACACCGAAACUGCGGGUGCAUCUUAUGAUGCGCGGUAGCGGAGCGUUCUGUAAGUCUGCGAAGGGGGACCCGUGAGGGCUCCUGGAGAUAUCAGAAGUGCGAAUGCUGACAUGAGUAACGAUAAAGCGGGUGAGAGACCCGCUCGCCGAAAGUCCAAGGGUUCCUGCGCAACGCUAAUCGGCGCAGGGUUAGCCGGCCCCUAAGGCGAGGCCGAAAGGCGUAGUCGAUGGGAAUGCAGUUAAUAUUCUGCAGCUUGGUGGUAGUGACGGAUGCCGUGUGUUGUAUCUCCUUAUUGGAUUGGGGGUGCAGCGAAGGUGUUCCAGGAAAUAGCUCCACCGUAUAAACCGUACC
rnacentral:rRNA from 1 species